rnacentral:rRNA from 1 species
UUCAGGGGUAAACCUGAGAAACCCGAAAGGUCGAAAGGGGAAAUUCAUUCGCGUUUCGGCCGCCGGAGUCGGAUGGUCGAGUGACGGACGGCGUACGCGUCGUCCGCGCCUUCCGUCCUUCGAACUGGCGUCGAACGCGUGCACUUUUCCCCUAGUAGGACGUCGCGAUCCGUUGGGCGUCGGUCUAAGACCUGCGGUGGAGCCCGGGCGGACGUCUCACGGCGUUCCGUCUGGACCCGCGGUGUUCCGGCCGACUCGCUCGACGGUAUACAGAUGGCGCGGGGCCGCUACCGAUUCAGUUAGCGUUCGGCCCGCGGCAAGCGCGUUCGGCGUUUGACGGCGAUCGGACCUCGUUCCGGUCCUGUCCCCGAACGACUGUUGGCCUGCGGUGUUCUCGAACAGACCUCGUUUGCGAAACGCCGAUCUGCGACGCUAUAGCUUUGGGUACUUUCAGGACCCACGGACCAAGGAGUCUAGCAUGUGCGCGAGUCAUUGGGACAUAACUAAACCUAAAGGCGCAAUGAAAGUGAAGGUCCGCCUCGCGCGGAUCGAGGGAGGAUGGGCGGUUCGCCCUUAAAGUGGCCGCCUCGCACUCCCGGGGCGUCUCGUUCUCAUUGCGAGAAGAGGCGCACCAAGAGC